UCAAAUAAAGCCAGGAUUCAGGGAAAGUUGAUUAUUGCAAGUAAGAAUAUCCACCCUAAACCAGAUGCCCUUGGGUCAAAUCCUAGCUCUGCCACCUCUUCUUGGCUCUGUGACUUUUGGCAUAUGAUCUCAUUUCCUUCAUCUAGGCUUCCUCACCUGCAAAAUGAGUAUAAUAAUAGUACCUCCCUUACUGGAUCAUCCUGAGGAUUCAACAUGAGUAAAGUGCUUAGAACACUGCCUGAAAAUGUGAUGUAACUGCUUCCCCCAGGUUGGGAAUUCUACAGUGUGCUGCAACAUGGGUGAACGUUGAGGAUUAUGUGUGCUAAGUGAAGUAAGCCAGUCACAAAACAAACAUCACGUAAUUCUUCGUUAUGAGAUGAGGAAAUUGAAGCCCGGAGAGGUUCAGCUACUUACCUUUGUUCAAACAGGAGAAGCUUGCUGAGGAUGGUUUUCCUGAUGCGAUCUUGGCUGUUCUCACUGGAGGAGGAGCUCAGGGCCUUGCUGUCACUGGGAAUGGCUGCUGUUUUCAUCAGAGGAGGUCUGAUCUUCACCGUGAGCACCACUUCCUGGUUCCAAUGUCAGCCUGGUGGCAUAAAUCCUUCAUCCCACUGGCAUAGGUUUUCUGGCUUUCGUCACUGGCCUUUGGGCCUUCCAGGUGCAGAUUCUCAAUACGGACAAGCAUGCGACAUUGUCGUGGGCUCUAGGCCACUGGCUGGACUUGUGUGGACAUUGAUGGGAUCCAGGCCCUCAGCUGGAUUCUUUGGGCCUCUAGUGUGUGGUUGAUUUCUUGCACUCCUUUGCAUUUGACUUUUUGGGUUAUUAUCAUAAAAUAAUCCUAAAUAUUGUGUGUCCUGUAUUUAAUGUAUUCCCUUGCUAAAACCCUGACUGCAACAGCACGCCAAGCAAAAAUUAGGUAAAUACUAAAACGAUAACUUCCGUCACUGGGAUCAUAAUGAUUAUACCUUAAUUGACUUACCAAUAAAUCACUCUCAUAAUAGAAACUCGUGCAACUGAAAUUUUUUAUAAGCAUAGCCACAAAAACUUAACUUCAGUUUCAUUAAUAUUCCA
ensembl:lncRNA